rnacentral:rRNA from 1 species
UACAGAGGUCUCAAGCGUUGUUCGGAUUCAUUGGGCGUAAAGGGUGCGUAGGUGGUGAUGCAAGUCUGGUGUGAAAUCUCGGAGCUCAACUCCGAAAUUGCACCGGAUACUGCCGUGCUUGAGGACUGGAGAGGAGACUGGAAUUUACGGUGUAGCGGUGAAAUGCGUAGAUAUCGUAAGGAAGACCAGUGGCGAAGGCGGGUCUCUGGACAGUUCCUGACGCUGAGGCACGAAGGCCAGGGGAGCAAAACGGG